ACUUAGCUGACGAGUCUCAAAUAGGACGAAACACGUGUUGUGGAU
rnacentral:hammerhead_ribozyme from 1 species